UCAGAAUAGGGGAUCCAGAAAUCGCUCUGGCCCUGUUUCACAAAAAUUUAAACUUCUCAUAAAAUAUAACUCAUAUACCUGUUUUGUUCCAUCCAUAUGAAAAUAGACUAAUAAUUCUUCAAUUCCAUAUUUUAUUCAUCAUCUAAUUGUAUCUAUACUAUUUUUAAUGAUUUUUCAAACUCACAUCACUGCUGCUGUCUGGAUCUAUUUUAUGGUAAAUUUUUCCUAUUUCAUGGUUUCCAUGGAUUAGCUAGCAAUUUAGCAUAUAUAACACCAAAUAUGAUCAUGAUUAGCCAUUCCAAUGGCUAAUCAUUACCAAACAUUUCCAUACCACUCAAUAUCCAUAUCAUAAGACCAUAUAUACAAAAUGAUUAUAAUGCUAUACAUGCCAUACUCAAAAUAUACAAGCCAUUACGCCAAGAUGGUAUACGGAUAGUGUGAGUGGGCCUCCGACCGUUCCCGAUUUCCGAGCUGGCUUAUCAAAACUACAAGGAAUGAAAAGGAGGGAGUAAGCAUAAAUGCUUAGUAAGUCCAUAUGAAAUUAAUAAGCAAUUACCAACAUGCUUUUAAGAUAAAACACCACAAUUGUACAAUUAUACAUACUCAGCUUAAACUGUUUUAUCGAGAUACAUUUACUAAAUAAUUUAUUUCUGGAGCUACGAAACUCCAAAUUAAGUUCCGUUAAUUUUCCUUGAAACUAGAUUCAUAUACCUUUCUCCCAUAAAAUUUCCAGAAUUUUUGGUUUAGCCAUUUAGUCCAGUUUAUUCAUUAAAGUUUCCCCUGUUUCACUGUCCAACAGUUCUGAUCUCUCUUCACUAAAAAUUAUUUAUCUCAUAAUUCGGGACUUGGAUGAUGUUUCUGUCUAUCCCUCUUGAAAAUGUCUCGAUAAGGAUUUUAAAUAUAUAAAUUAAAACUCAUAAUUAUUUUUGUACAAUUUCUAAUGAUUUUCUAAAAUCAGAACAGGGGAUCUCGAAGUCAUUCAAACUCUGUCUCACAACAAUUUAAAUAUCUUAUAACAUAAAAUCCAAUUGCAUGCACCGUUUCCUCUAUAUGAAACUAGACUCAUCAGGCUUUAAUCUCAUAUUUUAUUCAGCCCUUAACUCAAUUUCCACAAUUUAUGGUGAAUUUCAAAAGAUACACUACUGCAGUAACUCAAAUCUGUCAAAGCUAAAUUACUCAUUCAUGAUCAUUUUCCACUAUUUUUAGUGUAUUUUCAACCCGAGGGUUAAGUACAUACCUGUUCAAAGUAUCCAUUUCACAACAUUUAUCAAUACGUCCCUUUCAUCUCGAGUAUUCCUCUAUUUGAGUAGAAUUUUACCCGUUGAACACAUCGGAAUAUAAUUCGGAUACAUGGAAAGUUUGCACAUAAGUGCCACAUAUGUAGCCAAGCUACCAUGUAACCCGCCCAUAAGUGAACUCGGACUCAACUCAACGAGCUCGGGCGUUCGCAUCCAUAAGUGAACUCGGACUCAACUCAACGAGCUCGGAUGCCUAGUUACAUCUCACGAACUCGGACUCAACUCAACGAGUUCGAACAUUCGCAUCCAUAAGUGAACUCGGACUCAACUCAACGAGCUCGGAUGCCUAAAUAUCCCAGUGACAUGUCACUUGUAUCCUAAUCUAUUCCUAAGGUUCAACGGGACCUUUUUCGCAAUCAUGUGUUUCAACCAUCUUCUACGGAAUGCCGAUACCAAUACUCGGUAGUAUUUCACAUUUUCCAAGUAUAUCAUAUAAUUUGACAUAUUAUCAAACAAUUAUCACAAGUAUAAUAUCUCAUAAUAAUUAUCAUAUCAUUUAAAUAACAUCAAAACAUUUAAAAUAAUAACUAUGUUACCAACAUUUACAUAUGAACUUACCUCGAUAUAAAAUAUUAGCAAUCGAGCUUAUUCCUCGUAAACUUUAUUUUUCCCUCGAUCACGACUUGAAUCUCGUUUCUCUUGAUCUAUAAUAUAAAUUAUUUCUACUCAUUAGAAUUUAUUUGAUUUCUAUUUCACUUCACAAUUUAUGCUGUUCAAAUUUAAAAAUUGCACUUUUACCCCAAAAUUUAUAGUUUUUACAAUUUAGUCCCUACUCAAUUCACCCAUAAAUUGAACUAAUUUUUCUCAAUUAACACUUUAUUUUAUCAUUAUAAACUAUUUCACAACCUUUUAUAUUCUGAAUUUCAACACCAACAUCUAAUUCACAAUUAUUUUCACAAUUAGGUCCUAAAUACCAUUUUCUAUCAAAAUGACUUAAUAAAACAACCUUAAUAUGAAAUUAGAACUUCAAUUUCAUAAUAAUUCAUCAUAAACUUCCCUUACUCAGCCAGGGGAACUUCCAAUUUCAUCCACCAAAUCAAAAACUAAUGAAUUAGAUGAUUGGACCUAAUUGUAAAAGUCACAAAAACAUAAAAAUUACUAAGAAAAAGUAAAAAUUGAACUUACAUGGUGCAAAAAUAUGAAAAACCAGCAUAGGAGACCUGCUACAGCGUUUCUGGCUGAGAAAGAUGAAGAAAU
rnacentral:lncRNA from 1 species